GUGAUACAUGUAGCCCAAUUGUUACUAUAAUACUAUAUAGGGUAAGCUGUGAACCACGACCCCAACAAUAGGACCGCGCCGAAAAAAUGGACUUUGGGCACACGUAUACAUGCACAAUAUCCAGAAUAUAUACUAUAUGGUCUACACGUAACAAGCAGUUCCCUGAACAGUCUUGCGCUGUGAUAACUUCACAGACCGGGUCACCGUAUUGCCAUGGACAGUUACAAAACUACAUAACUACAUGCUCUUUCUAAGGAUAUAUAUGGGAACAGAAAUUAUAGCUUGAAUCCUUCAGUUAAUGAAUAAACUUCUCAUAAAAACAUAAUUCUGCGGCACGUAAAACGUUUUCCCCGAGACGUCAUCUUCAAAUCAACGGAUAUAUGAUGCAUUUCACGAGCAAUUAAAGUCGCAAUGACAACUUGAGAUUUUAUCAUCUGACUGGCAUUCUACUUCUACGUCCGGGUUCUACGUUCAGAACAAACAAUAUGUUUCGUGACAUAAACAAUCAAAUUGCGAGCUUCGUACGGAGGUUACGCGGGGAUGAUGAUGAGGAGGAGGCAAGUAGUUCAAAGAACCCGACACAGAUCCAGAGCGAUAGGACAAGUCUCAUCGUCGAAAAGGACACCUAUAUCACAAAGAAGAUUGCAACGAACUCGGGCCAAAUGACCAACGGAAGGACAGGGACUACGAUCGACAGACGAGAAUCUUCUGGUCACAAAACUUUAAACGGUGCUAAGAAUAAGGAGAUCAACUCGAACGAGAUAGAAAGUGGAAAUAAAUUUGACGAUGAGGAGCCUGAUACUCCCACACCCGGUGACCCAUUCGACGAAAUAUUUUCAACACGGAAAUGUAUAGCAUCUUCUUGCCGCUCCCAAGGGGCGGGAUCCUCAGAGCUACGGGUCUUUGAUUGGUUUAAUCUUUGACACGCUCCCAAAACGGCGCGCCGGUGUUAAUUUAAUACCAUCGAGAUGUAUUUGGAAGGAAACACCAAAUAAUUUUUGAAACAUUUAUCACCUGUUAAGAAUUAAAUUGGUGCUGUUUUAACACUGAAUUAUGUUCUUUAAGUGCCUAUCUGGUGUGAGCUCAAGUCUGGUGCUGUUUCAACACUUCUCUUCUGUUCUCUUACAUAGACAUGGGCUACAUAUCUGGAGGGGGGGGGGGGGGGCUUAAGCCCCACCCUUUUUUCCAAACCAAUGUCUUUAACCAAAAAAAUCCUUGAAUAGACAGGGGUAUGACUAGUAAUUACAAAAAUCAGAACAUUCCCCACAGGCAAAAUAUUCAUACAAUCAUAAUGAUCAUGUAACAUACAAAACCUAUUUUCAGAGAGUGGUCAUUUUACUAGAGAAAUGAAUGCAGGGCGGCCUGGAGAGAGAAGAAAAGGGUGAGAAAAAUACAAAGAAUGAAAAUUGUUACUACAAAGAGAGAUCUUAGUCUUGGAGGAGGGGUGCAGUCUCGUUCAAAUAAAGACCCCUAUUAUAAAACAAAAAAUGCAUAUGCAUGGUGCAUUGACUAUAUGGAUAAUAUGGUUUACUAUGUAUUGUUAAAAUGUAUAAAUAUAUUUAUGUAAAGAUAUGUGACAAGAACUAAUGCCUUUUAAAUAUAUAUAUUUUUUUUAUUAAAGAAACAAUUUAGAUAAUUACGCUUCUUAGUAUAGAAUGCAUGCAUUAUGAAUGGAUGAGUGCAGAGCAGGCUGUAUUCAAGAUAUAUUUCUUUAAAGCAGAAAUUUAAAACAAAUGGUUUAGUUAUAAAUAACCCAAUAGGUUUAGAUAUGUACCAAUUUAUCUAUAAUUUUGUUUCAAUGUCGAUUUGUGUCAGUAAAGGCCCAUUCAUUAUUUUCUAGGAUCUUGGGCAGAACAUACUGGAUUAACACAAUAGUCCAUUGUGGUGUGCUUUCAUCAUACAUGAACCACAGUGAGUUGAAAUGAGCAUAGAAGCUUGCAGUUACUGCAAAAAGUGCAAUUUUUCAUGAUGAAUCAUGCAAUAAAUCGUAAUAAGUCUAUUGCUCACCAUAUUGUGUAUUUGGUUUAUACAAUUAGGUGAUAACCAGACUUUUAUGAACAUGGGCCCCGAUCAUCAUUAAUUAACAAACUUUUUGAAAUUAGACUACCUCAAUCUCUUCAAAUAAAAUGAAUUGUAAGAAGAGGAAUUUAAAAAAAUGAUACCUCAAUGACAUAAAGAGACCAGUACAAUCAAUUUCCGUAGAGGUAUAAGUAUUGAAUAAAGGUGGAACAAUUUCUUCGUAUUAAUUUCAUGUAUAAAGUAUUUGUAUUCAUAAAUAAAUCUCUUUCAUUGGCAUUACUGUAUUGCUGUGAAAAGUCAAAGUAAUCUACCAGAAUGAAAAGGUAUUAUUUUAUAAUGUGUUUUUUAAAUGUACAUGUGUAAUUUAAUUUACAAAGUAAUGGAAGGUAUUGAUAACCUGCAGCAAUAGCCGUGCUGUAUAUAUAUCUGGAGAAGCAUACAAAAACUUUUUUUUUUCAAUAGACUUACAGGAGAUAACCAAAACCUGAAUUUUUAGAUCAUUAUGAACACAAAUAUUGAUAUUUUUACAGAUAAGGUAGCCCAAAUGUCGAAAUUAGAAUGAAAUUUAGAAAUAUGUUAUAAGGAAAGCUUAUUAAAAGUAUUAUAAUAUAGUCUCUCUACUUACAAAAAAAAUAUUAAGUAAAAUGACAUUUUACCUUUUACUAAAAGAAUAAAACUGGUGCCUUCGUAUAAUUAGAAUGUACUUAAAUGUUUUAUAAAAUAUGAUUAUAUUCUUAUACAGCCUCUGAACUUUGUGCAGGAAAUAAAUCCAUGUAUUUCAAUUAAA